CAGGGCUUCAGUAUCGGUGGGUGCUGAGGGGGGAGCCUCGUGAUCUUUGACUGGAGGAGUGAUGCAUUCGCUAGACAUGCUAGCGCUUAGAUGAGUGGAAAGGCAAUAGAACUAGAAGUGAAUUCAUAUUCUAAUUCUCAUUACAAGAAGGAGGUGCUAACAAAGGUUCAGAGGACAUAAGCAUAUCUUGGUCUAACUCCUUAAUGCCUCAAGAUAGCAUCAAACCAGCUGCUGCCUUGGAACGAACCUGGCAAAGAAUGGAAAAACUCACCAAUGACAGACUGAAUUGCUCCUGGAAAAAUAAUCAUAAAGGCAUACUCCCACCUCCUGAAGAGAUCAAGAGGAGGAUUGUUCCCCUAAGCUGGAGUCCACGGGGAAUGGAACAGGAGGACACGUACAUAGCCUUUGUGGGGGUGGAAGACUUUCUCAUGAC